AAGUCGUAACAAGGUUUCCGUAGGUGAACCUGCGGAAGGAUCAUUAACACGUAUCCAAACGUUAAAACAACCUGGGAACCUUCAGCGUGCAGGACGUCAAAACAGCAAUCCCGAGUAAAUCAGGCGCUAAAGAAUUACAGAUUUUGAUUUUGGAAGUUCGCUGCAAUUGAGCGCUAGAUAAAGCACCUACCCUAGAGCAAUCCCCUGUCUGAAAGCGGCAAGGGACCAAUGUUCGGGGUGGCGCAGUGAUCGCUGUAGGUCCACACGACCCCUACGUCAUCCCUAUGUACCCUCCGGGACUUGGCGAAGCUGCCUCCGUAAUAAAUCGAACAACUGUUAACAAUGGAUAUCUUGGUUCUC
rnacentral:misc_RNA from 1 species